UACAGAGGGUGCGAGCGUUAAUCGGAAUUACUGGGCGUAAAGCGUGCGUAGACGGUCAUGUACGUCGGGUGUGAAAGCCCCGGGCUCAACCUGGGAAUUGCAUUCGAGACUGCAUGGCUAGGAUGCGGAAGAGGGAAGCGGAAUUUCCGGUGUAGCGGUGAAAUGCGUAGAUAUCGGAAGGAACACCAGUGGCGAAAGCGGCUUCCUGGGCCAGCAUCGACGUUCAGGCACGAAAGCGUGGGGAGCAAACAGG
rnacentral:rRNA from 1 species